CUCUCGGCCGAACCCUUUGAGGAGAAAGAAAAAAAAAUUCCCCAAGCCUUUGUGUUGAUCCAAAAUUCUUUUUCUUCACAUAUUGUAAAGUACUCAAGACGCUCUCCGACGGGGUACAAUUAGUUUGGCGAAAGGUGCGCGUUUGCGGCAAGUCGGAAAUUUAAGAAAAGAUUCCGGACGAAACGGGAUUUGAUUUUAGGGAGAGCAUAAGACGUCUAUAAGGUACAGAUAUUGGUGAUCCUCCACUGUAGGCUUCACUCUCUGCUAUUUCGGAGUACUCCUUCUUGACUCGGAGUCCACUUUUGGUACAGACUUCUUUUGCUAUGUAUAUAUUCUGUACAUUUGACUAUUUGGGUACGGCGGGGUCCUGUCUCGCCAUAUGUCUUUGUUUUGUAUUCGUAGAGGCCUGUAGUCAUAUAUGUGGGGCGAGGGUCCUAUAUAUGUUUGUUCGAUUUUGUUUUUUUUUGGUCUUAAAGCGGUCCGUUUGUUAUGAUGGCCCUAAAUGGCCCUUAUGCUUAUAUUUGCACUUGUGACCGGCGAUGUCUAUUCCGCCGCUCCUUUCGGAUUCGAUAUGAUAUUUUGAUAUGUGCGACCGCUUAA